rnacentral:rRNA from 1 species
UCGAGAGGCAUCGGCAAUGGGGGAAACCCUGACCGUGCGACGCCGCGUGGAGGAUGAAGGCCUUCGGGUCGUAAACUCCUGUCAGCAGGGGAGAAAGGUGUGUCGGUUAAUACCCGGCAUGUUUGACGGUACCUGCAGAGGAAGCUCCGGCUAACUCCGUGCCAGCAGCCGCGGUAAUACGGGGGGAGCGAACGUUGUUCGGAUUCACUGGGCGUAAAGGGGGCGUAGGCGGCUAGAUUAGUGGGGCGUGAAAUUCUUCGGCUCAACCGAAGACCUGCGCUCCAAACUGUCUGGCUUGAGUCCGGGAGGGGAGAUGGGAAUUCCUGGUGUAGCGGUGAAAUGCGCAGAUAUCAGGAAGAACACCGGUGGCGAAGGCGCAUCUCUGGACCGGCACUGACGCUGAGGCCCGAAAGCGUGGGGAGCAAACAGGAUUAGAUACCCCCGUAGUCC